rfam:Mesocricetus auratus contig197545, whole genome shotgun sequence.
GGAUCUAUGAUGAGAACAAGUCUCUGAGUACGGUGAUUGACUCAUACAAAUGGGAAUUUAAGGUAC